rnacentral:rRNA from 1 species
GUCUUCUUGUUUAUUGUAGGAAGUCUGACCUGCCCGGUGAUUUUAUUUAAACGGCCGCGGUAUAUUGACCGUGCAAAGGUAGCAUAAUCAUUAGUUUUUUAAUAGGGGACUGGUAUGAAGGGUUUGACGAGGAGUUAGCUGUCUCGUUAAGAUUAUUUGAAUUUGACUUUUUGGUUAAAAGGCUUUAAAAUUUUGUUGGUAGACGAGAAGACCCUAUAGAGCUUUACAUUUAUAUUUUUUUAUUUUUUUUGUUUUAUUUUUAGAUAUGUUUUGUUGAGUGUUUUGUUGGGGUGAUGACUGAAUAUAAAUAACUUCUUUUUUUCUAUCAUUGAUUUAUGUUUUUUUGAUCCGUUGUUUAAUUGACGAUUAUUAGUUCAAGUUACCUUAGGGAUAACAGCGUAAUCCCUUUUUGGAGUUCUUAUUUGCAAAGGGGCUUGCGACCUCGAUGUUGGAUUAAGAUAACUUUUUGGCGCAGUUGCUAAAUUUGUAGGUCUGUUCGACCUUUAAAUUCUUACAUGAUCUGAGUUCAGACCGG